rnacentral:rRNA from 1 species
UACGUAGGGAGCGAGCGUUGUCCGGAUUCAUUGGGCGUAAAGAGCUCGUAGGCGGCUUGGCAAGUCGGGUGUGAAAACUUCAGGCUCAACCUGGAGCGGCCACUCGAUACUGCCAUGGCUAGAGUCCGGUAGGGGACCACGGAAUUCCUGGUGUAGCGGUGAAAUGCGCAGAUAUCAGGAGGAACACCGGUGGCGAAGGCGGUGGUCUGGGCCGGAACUGACGCUGAGGAGCGAAAGCGUGGGGAGUGAACAGG